UACGUAGGUGGCAAGCGUUGUCCGGAUUUACUGGGCGUAAAGAGCGCGCAGGCGGUCGUUCAAGUCGCGUGUGAAAGCCCCCGGCUCAACUGGGGAGGGUCACGCGAUACUGAUCGACUGGAAGGCAGGAGAGGGUAGUGGAAUUCCCGGUGUAGUGGUGAAAUGCGUAGAUAUCGGGAGGAACACCGGUGGCGAAGGCGGUUCUCUGGGCCUUACCUGACGCUGAGGAGCGAAAGCGUGGGGAGCGAACAGG
rnacentral:rRNA from 1 species